AUCGCUUUUCUGCCUUUUUAGCAAGGAUCAGUGUAGUAUAUGUUCUUGUCUGUUUAAUAUCUGAUUCGCCUCUAUCUGGGGGUACACAGGAUGCACCCGAGUUCAAUUUUGAGCUUCGUGGCAAAGGCUGUGAAUACUUGAAGUACAUGUCAUUUCUUUGUUUUUUAUUUGUAAUAAAUUUACAAAAAUCACA